UCGCUUUGCACAUACAGCCCUUGUAUGAAACAAGGAGGAGAAGAUGUGUGUCCAGACCUUCAAGGCGGCACAGAGCCUGGAGGGGAUGGCUGAGACUGUGGGCAAACUUCAGUUCCCCUCCUUCCCCAGUGGACCCGCA